CCACGCGGCACGCACUGCAUCGCGCCGACGCCAUUACUACUCACUGUUUGGCUGUAAUUUUCGGGAGAAGAUGUUUUCCUUCAGUGUAUCCAAGAAAGUAAUCGGACGGUCUCGGAUGUUGAUGCAGUGGAGCAGAAACUGGCAUUUUGACCAUUUAGCAGAGUCAACCAUGACGAAGAUUUCCCUGGAGAUGAGCAUGAAGAUCAGGUCUUUGUGGAUAGCAGGGCAUCAUUUCUCUGACGUCAGAACAUUCUUGAUGCAGUCAGGUGUUCAUGUAUCCAGUGACACUAUUAGACGACAUCGUCGCCAGACUCCUGCAACUAAAAAACCAUCUGUAUUGAGUUAUUGUGUAUAUAGUGCUGUACUUCAAUGCAUUGAGGAAAUACUGCAUGAAGACGAUGAACGUUCUGCUAAAAAAAUUCAAAAUGAGCUUCAGUCCCGAUUGCAGUUAAAAAAUAUCAAUCAGUACCAUCAGAAGGUCCAUAAAGAAACUUGGAUGGACUUAUGGAAAAGCCCUGACCGACCCUAUGAUCAGGGACAACAACAAGGCCCUGCGCCUUAGCCAAGUGCAGCAGUGGAUGGAUGUUGAGGAGACCUUUGACAAUAUAAUGAUCCAAAACAUACAGCAUCAAGACACUGUAUUGCUGAGGAGGGGAUCAACUGGGUGAAAACACCAGCCGAAUCACCAGAUCUCAACCCCAUCGAGCUGGUUUGGCACGCACUGAAGGAGUUUAUCAGACGUGAGGCUAAACCAUGGAACAAAGCUGAGCUUCUCCAGGCCAUUGUGACCUUCUGGACAGAUCGCCUGACAAAAACAACCUGCAAUAAAUACAUUGAUCACCUUCAGAAGGUUUUGCUGUUGGUGGUACAGCGCGACGGGGGUUCUACCGGAAUGUAGACGUAUAUUUAUUGAUCUUUUUUUCAUUAUUUAUUAAAGGAAAUUGCUGAUCAUAAUA